rnacentral:rRNA from 1 species
AAAUCAGUUAUCGUUUAUUUGAUAGUACCUUACUACUUGGAUAACCGUGGUAAUUCUAGAGCUAAUACAUGCUAAAAAUCCCGACUUCGGAAGGGAUGUAUUUAUUAGAUUAAAAACCAAUGCCCUUCGGGGCUUCCUGGUGAUUCAUGAUAACUUCUCGAAUCGCAUGGCCUUGCGCCGGCGAUGGUUCAUUCAAAUUUCUGCCCUAUCAACUUUCGACGGCUGGGUAUUGGCCAGCCAUGGUGACAACGGGUAACGGAGGGUUAGGGCUCGACCCCGGAGAAGGAGCCUGAGAAACGGCUACUACAUCCAAGGAAGGCAGCAGGCGCGCAAAUUACCCAAUCCCGACACGGGGAGGUAGUGACAAUAAAUACUGAUACAGGGCCCUUUUGGGUCUUGUAAUUGGAAUGAGUACAAUUUAAAUCCCUUAACGAGGAACAAUUGGAGGGCAAGUCUGGUGCCAGCAGCCGCGGUAAUUCCAGCUCCAAUAGCGUAUAUUAAAGUUGUUGCAGUUAAAAAGCUCGUAGUUGAACCUUGGGCCUGGCUGGCCGGUCCGCCUCACCGCGUGCACUGGUCCGGCCGGGCCUUUCCCUCUGGGGAACCGCAUGCCCUUCACUGGGUGUGUCGGGGAACCAGGACUUUUACUUUGAAAAAAUUAGAGUGUUCAAAGCAGGCCUAUGCUCGAAUACAUUAGCAUGGAAUAAUAAAAUAGGACGUGCGGUUCUAUUUUGUUGGUUUCUAGGACCGCCGUAAUGAUUAAUAGGGACAGUCGGGGGCAUCAGUAUUCAAUUGUCAGAGGUGAAAUUCUUGGAUUUAUUGAAGACUAACUACUGCGAAAGCAUUUGCCAAGGAUGUUUUCAUUAAUCAGGAACGAAAGUUAGGGGAUC